rnacentral:rRNA from 1 species
GAUGAACGCUGGCGGCGUGCCUAAUACAUGCAAGUCGAGCGAACAGACGAGGAGCUUGCUCCUCUGACGUUAGCGGCGGACGGGUGAGUAACACGUGUAUAACCUACCUAUAAGACUGGGAUAACUUCGGGAAACCGGAGCUAAUACCGGAUAAUAUAUUGCACCGCAUGGUUCAAUAGUGAAAGACGGAUUUGCUGUAACUUAUAGCUGGAUACCGGCCGUGUUAGCUAGUUGGUAAGGUAACAGCUUACCAAGGCGACGAUGCGUAGCCGACCUGCGAGGGGGGUAGCCGCCAUUGGAAGGUGGCCGCGCUCCAUGGUCCUGCGGUAGGGCGCAGUAGGGAAUCGUCCGCAAUGGUGGAAAGCCUGGCGGAGCAACGCCGCGUGAGUUAUGAAAGUCUUGGGUUCGUAAAACCCUGUUAUGGGUUGAAAACAAAUGUGGAAGUAACUAUGGACGUCGUGACGGUACCUAAUCAGAAAGCCACGGCUAACUACGUG